GACGUAGGAUGCAAGCAUUGUCCGGAUUUAUUGGGCGUAAAGAGUUCGUAGGCGGUUUGUUAAGUCUGUUGUUAAAGAUCGGGGCUCAACCCCGGGACUGCAUCGGAUACUGGCAGACUGGAGUGUGGUAGAGGUAAGUGGAAUUUCUGGUGUAGCGGUGAAAUGCGUAGAUAUCAGAAAGAACACCAGUGGCGUAGGCGACUUACUGGGCCAUAACUGACGCUGAGGAACGAAAGCCAGGGGAGCAAAUGGG
rnacentral:rRNA from 1 species